AGUAUUUUUUAUUUUAGCAAAAGGCCACAUGUAUGCACCCUCCACAAUAAAUUGGGACACAUACAUAGAGUACUAAUAAUGUUAUCACUAUGUAUCAUUGCAAGAUCCGUAUGAAUCACGAGAAAACAUAGAUGUUCAAUUCAGAAGGAAUGGAUUCAUUUACGCAACUUCAAAACGAUGGGGACUCAUCAUGGGUUGCUCCUUUUAUGUGAACCGUUAGGUAUUAUUAUUUAGAGGACAAAAUGGGAAACGUGUUUGCAGUAACGAAGCCAAUAUUGCAUUGUUUAAUGAGAGUUAUGGGAAUGACAUCCAAGUUGGUGGAGAUAGAACCAGGAACCACCUUGCAUUUUUGGGUUCCAACUGAUCAAACCAUUAGCACAAUUAAGCCUGCCGUUGUACUUCUUCAUGGAUUUGUUGCCAAUGGAAUUCUCACUUGGCUUUUUCAAGUGAUUUCCUUAAGAACAUCUUUUGCUGUCUACGUCCCUGACCAACUUUUCUUCGGAGACUCCUUCACCCAUCAUCCUGAACGGUCACCUAAUUUUCAGGCAGACUGUUUAGCAAAGGUAUGAUGAAACUGGGUGUGGAAAAGUUUAAUUUGGUUGGAUUUUCCUAUGGAUCAAUGCUUGCGUUUAAAUUGGGCCCAACUGUAUCCUCACAUGGUUGAGUCCAUGGUCAUUUCAAGCUCGGGUAUGGAGUUAACUGAGUCUCUUAGCAAUUCUUUGUUGGAAAACAUUGGGUUCACAUGUUGGCCUGAUUUUCUUUUGCCCAAAACUAUCUCUGGUGUCAAAUUGCUUCUAUCUCUUGGCACCCACAAGGCCCCAUGGUUUCCUGAAUUUGUGUACAGGGAUUUUCUUGAGGUAUGUAGCUCUUUAAUUAACUAAUAUUCAGUACGUUGUUAUUAAAAAUAUAACCCUCGUAUGAUUUUGGGUAAUUUUUACCUCAGGGAAAAUUUCUAAAAUACACCCCAGCCUUUGUUCAAAUUUGCUAUAACCCACCUAAUUUUUACGGGGGUCCUAUUACCCCCCGGAUAUAUUUGUAAGGAAUUUCUUUGGCAUUUAUUGAGUGAGCUGGAUAACAAUUCAAACACGUGCUGAACAAAAUGCCAAAAAACAAAGGAGUCUAGUCAUUUCACUCUUCGAACAAAACAAAAAAUUAGAAUUCUCUCCUACACUCUUAAUUUUUUUUUUCAUGGAAAAAGCAGUUGAUUAUCUUGGUAUUAAUCUUGUGAAUCACUAUAUUCUUUCAUAAUUGAGUCUUGGCUUGUGUGACGUUGGAUUUUGGUUUGAUUUUUCCGAAUAAAUGCCAAAGAAAUGCUUUAAAAAUAUAGUCUGGGGGGUAGUAGGACCAUCGUAUAGAUUAGGUGUGUUACAGUAAAUCCCGGCAAAGGUUGGGAUGUAUUUUAGACAUUUUCCUUUCUACCUCAUGUGCUAAAUCUGAAAUUAAGUCACAUUCAAAAUCUAUAUAUUUUCUUUAAAUCAUAGUUAGAACCAAAUGAUUGUUUGCAAGCUAUAUAUUAAAAUUGAGUUAGAUUCAAAGUCUAUCUAUUUUCUUUAAAUCAUACUAUAUUUAGAACCAAAUGUGGUUUGCAAGUGGAAGGUAGUGUGCAACCAAUUGCACGAAUUACAAUUAAUUACAAUCAAAUUUAUCUAUAACAUGUAAUGUGGAUAUUUUUUUUUACUGCUACUUAGAAUUAUUUGUAUACAUAACAUUUACUAUAACAUAAUAUAAAAUAUCAGUUCCAUAGAAAAUUUGAUUAUCAUCGUGAAAUGACAUUCUAGAGGAUGAUUAUUAUAAAAAGAUCUGACUGCAUAACACAAUUCUAAUAUAUAAUGUUGCAAACCAGGUAAUGUUUGGCAACAUAAAGGAGAAAGUGGAGCUUCUUGAAGCUUCAGUGGUUAGUGACAAAGACGCCGCUAGUACACCUAACUACUCCCAGAGGAUUUAUAUUUUAUGUGGAGAGGAUGACAAGAUUUUUACUAAGCCAGUUUCUGAUGCCAUGAAAGAGAAGUUGGGAGAGAAUGCGACACUGGAAUACAUAACAGAGGCAGGACAUCUAGUUCAAAUUGAGCGACCCUUUAUGUACAAUCAUCAUCUGAAGAAAUUUCUUUCAUACUCAAGUGACUCUGCUAAUAUGUGAUGAGUGGAUAAAAUAAGUGUUCCAAUAAGUGAAUUCUCAAUUCACCUCUUUCGGACCAUUGACUUUUUUAACAUCAAUUUAUCAAGUGAACCAUCAUUUCCCAUUUUAAUUAUUUAAAUUGCUUUAAUUUAAUCAUCAACUCGCAAUUAUUCGAUUUUCUCAAACAGAACUUCUAGCAAUCAUUAAUAGUAUGUAUUUAGUACCCUAUUCCUUGUUGGAUAAACAUUUUUGUACUACCUUUAACUAGCGAGGUCGUUCUUUUAUAAUUGUAUUAAGCGCUUGUCCAAAUCUGACGUUUGU